rnacentral:misc_RNA from 1 species
GUGAAUCAUCGAAUUUUUGAACGCAAAUUGCACUCGCUUCGGAGAGGAUGCCUGUUUGAGGGUCAGCCUAAAAAAAAUCGACAUCGUUGCUGUGUCGCGGGGGCGGUCGUGGGAAAGUGGGUUAGCUUAAAUCUGGGGUUUAAGCGACUUAAAAUGUUCUGUACGAUUCCAUGAACGUUUCCAAGAUUAAUUUCUUAACACGUUUAAGGUAGCGAUGUU